CCUACGGGAGGCAGCAGUGAGGAAUAUUGGUCAAUGGACGCAAGUCUGAACCAGCCAUGCCGCGUGCAGGAAGACGGCUCUAUGAGUUGUAAACUGCUUUUGUACGAGGGUAAACGCAGAUACGCGUAUCUGUCUGAAAGGAUCGUACGAAUAAGGAUCGGCUAGCUCCGUGCCAGCAGCCGCGGUACAACGGAGUCUUCAAGCGUUAUCCGGAUUGAUUGGGUUUAAAGGGUGCGUAGGCGGUCGGAUAAGUUAGAGGUGAAAUCCCGGGGCUCAACUUCGGAAUUGCAUCUGAUACUGUUCGGCUAGAGAGUAGUUGCGGUAGGCGGAAUGUAUGGUGUAGCGGUGAAAUGCUUAGAGAUCAUACAGAACACCGAUGGCGAAGGCAGCUUACCAAGCUACUACUGACGUUGAGGCACGAAAGCGUGGGGAGCAAACAGGAUUAGAUACCCGGGUAGUC
rnacentral:rRNA from 1 species